rnacentral:tRNA from 1 species
GCUUUGGUGGCUCAGUGGUAGAAUACUCACCUUCCAUGUGGAAGACUUUGGUUCAAUUUCCGGCCAAGGCA